UGGGGAAUAUUGGACAAUGGGCGAAAGCCUGAUCCAGCCAUGCCGCGUGUGUGAAGAAGGUCUUCGGAUUGUAAAGCACUUUAAGUUGGGAGGAAGGGCAGUAAGCGAAUACCUUGCUGUUUUGACGUUACCGACAGAAUAAGCACCGGCUACUCUGUGCCAGCAGCCGCGGUAAUACAGAGGGUGCAAGCGUUAAUCGGAAUUACUGGGCGUAAAGCGCGCGUAGGUGGUUCGUUAAGUUGAAUGUGAAAGCCCCGGGCUCAACCUGGGAACUGCAUCCAAAACUGGCGAGCUAGAGGAGGGCAGAGGGUGGUGGAAGUUCCUGUGUAGCGGUGAAAUGCGUAGAUAUAGGAAGGAACACCAGUGGCGAAGGCGACCACCUGGGCGCAUACUGACACUGAGGUGCGAAAGCGUGGGGAGCAAACAGG
rnacentral:rRNA from 1 species